rnacentral:tRNA from 1 species
GAGGGUGUAGCUCAGUGUAGAGCACGUGCUUAGCACACAUGAGGUCCUGAGUUCAAUCCCCAGUACCUUCG